AUCCAGUACGUCUUUUGAUAUUUUCAAUUCUUAAAGUACUAUAUGUAGAGGUUAGUUAUCAUUACUAGAUCUCAUUAUCGGAAGUUCGGAACAUCAUCAAAGAAGAAGAAGAAAAAUCAUUCAAGAAAUUAUGGGCAAGAUGAGUACUAUGUUCUUUUGCUUCUUCUUCUUAUUCAUCUUGAUUGCCAUGCCUGCAGCCUCUUCCUCAAGCAGGAUGAUGCUCGAGAAGGAUGCGGAAGUACAAGAGAGGUGCCCAAAAGUAAUUCCGUCAUGCGCAGCCGUUCAGUGUUUAAAACUGCCAAAUCCAUGCCCACAGAUUAGAUGCAGAGAAGGUUUUGUUCUUUACCAGCCGUGUUGUGGCUGCCAAACUUGCUGUCCUAAAGCUUAUAAUUAGUGAACAUUUGAACCUACUGACUACUGUACUGUGGUUCUUUAUCACCUCUCUGUGUUUGUAUUAUCUCCUUUUUGAUGUGGCAAGCAUAAUCUAUUAGUAAGAUGAAAUAAUGCGAUUAUACACUUAUGUUGUUGAAACUAUUCAGCAUUUUUUGUAAUUUCUCGUGGUCGAUUGAUUUUUAAUCAGCAUAAAAAGAUCUAUUUAUCGGAAA